GGGAUUGCCUCAGUAACGGCGAGUGAAGCGGCAAUAGCUCAAAUUUGAAAUCUGGCCCUUUCGGGGUCCGAGUUGUAAUUUGUAGAGAGUGUUUCGGGUGAGACCACGGUCUAAGUCCGUUGGAACACGGUGUCAUAGAGGGUGAGAAUCCCGUCUGUGACCGUGGAUCGAGCCCAUGUGAAGCCUCUUCGACGAGUCGAGUUGUUUGGGAAUGCAGCUCAAAAUGGGUGGUAAAUUUCAUCUAAAGCUAAAUACUGGCUGGAGACCGAUAGCGCACAAGUAGAGUGAUCGAAAGAUGAAAAGCACUUUGGAAAGAGAGUGAAACAGUACGUGAAAUUGUUGAAAGGGAAGCGCUUGCAACCAGACCUGCCCGUAGGCGAUCAGCCGCUGUUCUCAGUGGUGCACUCGCUCUGCGAUCAGGCCAGCAUCGGUUUCGGCGGUCGGAUAAAGGCCUUGGGAAUGUAGCUCCUUUUCGGGGGAGUCUUAUAGCCCUUGGUGCAAUGCGGCCAGCCGGGACCGAGGACCGCGCUUCGGCUAGGAUGCUGGCGUAAUGGUUGUAAGCGACCCGUCUUGAAACACGGACCAAGGAGUCUAACAUCUAUGCGAGUGUUUGGGUGUCAAACCCAUGCGCGGAAUGAAAGUGAACGGAGGUGAGAACCCUUAAGGGCGCAUCAUCGACCGAUCCAGAUGUCUUCGGAUGGAUUUGAGUAUGAGCAUAGCUGUUGGGACCCGAAAGAUGGUGAACUAUGCCUGAAUAGGGUGAAGCCAGAGGAAACUCUGGUGGAGGCUCGCAGCGGUUCUGACGUGCAAAUCGAUCGUCAAAUUUGGGUAUAGGGGUGCGUAUUUUUGUAUUUAGAUAUGUUUAGGUCCAAAGCUAACUCUUAAUAUAGGCGAAAGACUAAUCGAACCAUCUAGUAGCUGGUUCUGCGAGUCU
rnacentral:rRNA from 1 species